AGCAGCCGCGGUAAUUCCAGCUCCAAUAGCGUAUAUUAAAGUUGUUGCAGUUAAAAGCUCGUAGUUGAAUUUCGGGAUUGACGUGAUGGUCAUGCCUUAAGGGGUAUGAACUGUUACUGUUGAUUUCUCACCUUCUGGAGAAACUUGAUGUCCUUUAUUGGGUGUCUUGCGGAUCCAGGACCUUUACCUUGAAAAAUUGAGUGUUUAAAGCAGGCAUUUUUGCUCGAAUACAUUAGCAUGGAAUAAUAGAAUAGGACGGCAUGGUUCUAUUUUGUUGGUUUCUAGGAUCACCGUAAUGAUUAAUAGGGAUAGUUGGGGGCAUUAGUAUUCAAUUGUCAGGGGUGAAAUUCUUGGAUUUAUUGAAGACUAACUACUGCGAAAGCAUUUGCCAAGGAUGUCUUCAUUAAUCAAGAACGAAAGUUAGGGGAUCGAAGACGAUCAGAUACCGUCGUAGUCUUAACCAUAAACUAUAGCCGACUAGGAAUCAGACGAUGUUAAUUUUUAAUGACUCGUUUGGUCC
rnacentral:misc_RNA from 1 species